CCUUACCAGGUCUUGACAUCCCGAUGCUAUUCCUAGAGAUAGGAAGUUUCUUCGGAACAUCGGUGACAGGUGGUGCAUGGUUGUCGUCAGCUCGUGUCGUGAGAUGUUGGGUUAAGUCCCGCAACGAGCGCAACCCCUAUUGUUAGUUGCCAUCAUUAAGUUGGGCACUCUAGCGAGACUGCCGGUAAUAAACCGGAGGAAGGUGGGGAUGACGUCAAAUCAUCAUGCCCCUUAUGACCUGGGCUACACACGUGCUACAAUGGUUGGUACAACGAGUCGCGAGUCGGUGACGGCAAGCAAAUCUCUUAAAGCCAAUCUCAGUUCGGAUUGUAGGCUGCAACUCGCCUACAUGAAGUCGGAAUCGCUAGUAAUCGCGGAUCAGC
rnacentral:rRNA from 1 species